rnacentral:rRNA from 1 species
AGUGAACGCUGGCGGUAGGCCUAACACAUGCAAGUCGAACGGCAGCACAGUAAGAGCUUGCUCUUAUGGGUGGCGAGUGGCGGACGGGUGAGGAAUACAUCGGAAUCUACUUUUUCGUGGGGGAUAACGUAGGGAAACUUACGCUAAUACCGCAUACGACCUACGGGUGAAAGCAGGGGAUCUUCGGACCUUGCGCGAUUGAAUGAGCCGAUGUCGGAUUAGCUAGUUGGCGGGGUAAAGGCCCACCAAGGCGACGAUCCGUAGCUGGUCUGAGAGGAUGAUCAGCCACACUGGAACUGAGACACGGUCCAGACUCCUACGGGAGGCAGCAGUGGGGAAUAUUGGACAAAGGGCGCAAGCCUGAUCCAGCCAUACCGCGUGGGUGAAGAAGGCCUUCGGGUUGUAAAGCCCUUUUGUUGGGAAAGAAAAGCAGCAGGUUAAUACCCCGCUGUUCUGACGGUACCCAAAGAAUAAGCACCGGCUAACUUCGUG